AUUGAACGCUGGCGGCAGGCCUAACACAUGCAAGUCGAGCGGAUGAAGGGAGCUUGCUCCUGGAUUCAGCGGCGGACGGGUGAGUAAUGCCUAGGAAUCUGCCUGGUAGUGGGGGAUAACGUCCGGAAACGGGCGCUAAUACCGCAUACGUCCUGAGGGAGAAAGUGGGGAACUUCGGGCCCCACCCCAUUCGCAUAGCCUAGGUCGGAUUAGCUAGUUGGUGGGGUAAAGGCCUACCAAGGCGACGAUCCGUAACUGGUCUGAGAGGAUGAUCAGUCACACUGGAACUGAGACACGGUCCAGACUCCUACGGGAGGCAGCAGUGGGGAAUAUUGGACAAUGGGCGAAAGCCUGAUCCAGCCAUGCCGCGUGUGUGAAGAAGGUCUUCGGAUUGUAAAGCACUUUAAGUUGGGAGGAAGGGCAGUAAGUUAAUACCUUGCUGUUUUGACGUUACCAACAGAAUAAGCACCGGCUAACUUCGUG
rnacentral:rRNA from 1 species